GGGGAGUGAGCUCAAAUGGGAGAGUGCUUGCUUAGCAUGCAAGAGAUAUUGGGAUCAAUGCCUGCAUUCUCCA